AGUUCCAAACCUAGGUUCAAAAGGUCUUGUGUGCUUCCAUUCUAUUUCAUGAAACCAGCCUGGACUAGCCUCCUAGAAGAUGAGAGACUCCAGUCCUUGAAAAGAGGCCCUGGGCCAUUCUAUCUGUCCCAGCUGAGACCAACACAGACUAGCCACCUAGCUGCACACUGGCUGACUAAAGGAGGCAGCCCUGCAGCAAGAUCGGACAGCUCUCCAGCCUUCCCUGGCUUCUCCCCAUCUUCUCUCAGGCUAUUUCCCCUAAUAACAUCCUUGCAUGGUUAAUCAUAUCUUGGUACCCAUUUAUGGGAGGAACUAAACAAAGAGACAGAAAAAUGCCAGGUGAUCCUUGUGUCUUUUAAGGCAAUGUGUGGUCACACUGCCUCUCUACCACGGAAGGAUUUUUGCAGAGUCAUUUUCUUUAUUGGAAAUGUUGGAGCACAGACCUGGUGAAACAUCAAAGACAGUCAUUUUCAUCACCGGCAAAGGGAUGUUUGAUGGCUUUGGGAGGA